rnacentral:rRNA from 1 species
UACGGAGGGUGCAAGCGUUAUCCGGAUUCACUGGGUUUAAAGGGUGCGUAGGUGGGCAUGUAAGUCAGUGGUGAAAUCUCCGUGCUUAACAUGGAAACUGCCAUUGAUACUAUGUUUCUUGAAUUUUCUGGAGGUCAGCGGAAUAUGUCAUGUAGCGGUGAAAUGCUUAGAUAUGACAUAGAACACCAAUUGCGAAGGCAGCUGACUACAGGGACAUUGACACUGAGGCACGAAAGCGUGGGGAUCAAACAGG